GAGAGCGUAGCUCAGCUGGUAGAGCAACUGACUUUUAAUCAGUAGGUCUCGGGUUCGAACCCCGACGCUCUCACCA
rnacentral:tRNA from 49 species